rnacentral:rRNA from 1 species
UACGUAGGGUGCAAGCGUUGUCCGGAAUUAUUGGGCGUAAAGGGCUCGUAGGCGGUUUGUCGCGUCGGGAGUGAAAACACCGGGCUUAACUCGGUGCUUGCUUUCGAUACGGGCAGACUAGAGGCAUGCAGGGGAGAACGGAAUUCCUGGUGUAGCGGUGAAAUGCGCAGAUAUCAGGAGGAACACCGGUGGCGAAGGCGGGUCUCUGGGCCGAUACUGACGCUGAGGAGCGAAAGCGUGGGGAGCGAACAGG